UUAGGCAGCCACACCCUCCUGCAAGUGCCCGAGUCUGUCAGAUCCUGGAAGCUAAGCAGGGCCAGGCCUUGUUCCUUGGAAGUGAGACCGCCUUGGAAGACCAGGGGCCACUAUAC
rnacentral:rRNA from 12 species